UGUAGCGGUGAAAUGCGCAGAUAUCAGGAGGAACACCGGUGGCGAAGUCGGCUCUUUGGGCCUUACCUGACGCUCAGGCGCGAAAGCUAGGGGAGCGAACAGGAUUAGAUACCGUGGUAGUCCUAGCUGUAAACGUUGGGUGCUAGCUGUGGGCGGAUUUCGACCCCGUCAGUGCUGAAGCUAACGCAUUAAGCACCCCGCUUGGGGAGUACGGCCGCAAGGCUAAAACUCAAAGGAAUUGACGGGGGCCCGCACAAGCGGCGGAGCAUGCGGCUUAAUUCGAUGCGAUGCGAAGAACCUUACUUGGGUUUGACAUGCAGGGUGAAACCGGAGAAAGCUGGCGCUCUUCGGAGCCUGCACAGGUGGCGCAUGGCUGUCGUCAGCUCGUGCCGCGAGGUGUUUCUUUAAGUGGCGCAACGAGCGCAACCCCUGUUCCUAGUUGCCAGCGGGUAAUACCGGGAACUCUAGGGAGACUGCAGGUGCCAAACUGGAGGAAGGUGGGGAUGACGUCAAGUCAUCAUGCCCUUUAAGUCCAGGGCUGCACGCAUGUUACAAUGCGCGGUACAGAGGUCGGCGAUCCCGUAAGGGGGAGCGAAUCCCAAAAAGCCGCGCUCAGUUGGGAUAGAGGUCUGCAACCCGUCCUCGCAAGUCGGAGUCGCUAGUAAUGGCAGAUCAGCAAUGCUGCGGUGAAUACGUUCCCGGGCCUUGUACACACCGCCCGUCACACCACGAAAGUGGGCAAUCACCCGAAGCGCGGUGGCCUAACCCUUGUGGAGGGAGCGGUCGAAGGUGGGGCUCGGGAUUGGGGUGAAGUCGUAACAAGGUACC
rnacentral:rRNA from 1 species